GCUGAAAGUUCAUGUAACCUGAAGGAAAUUUUUGGAGCGUGGUGUGGGAGCUCAUUGGAUGCGGAGACUAUCAAGACAUUUGUUUCAUUUGAGUAUGAUGAUUCUGUAAAGCUGCGUGCAAGGGUUGCUGCUGGUCUGUUUGCUGUGCGCAUCAUGUGUAAAGUAAAAGGUGGUGAUAGAGGAAGUUUGUCUGUUUCACUUGUUGAUAAAAUUACUAACCUGUGGCAAAAGUUGAGGAAGUUGCCAGCCUUUUCUGAGUUGAUGGCUAUUU
rnacentral:misc_RNA from 1 species